GACCACCACUACAACUUCCUGGAUGUUUUUUUUGAGCUGAUUUUCUUCAGCUCUUUUAUAAAUGGCUCAAAACCUCAGCCAUUUAAGGGAGGAUUCUUGGAGCGCCUGCUUGCGCUCUUCAGCAUGUGGGACGUGGACGUGUGGGAGCCUGCAGCAGAGCUGUACUUCACAGUGCUUAUUGAUUACCUUACAGAGCUUGUUGAAGUACUGUUCACUCAGCCUCUGGAGCUGUACAGUGACCCAGCAGCCUUAGCCAGCACAGUUCAGCGACUCCUCAAGCUGCACGUCCAGCUGAUGAUGGACAUUUUGGAGGAGCUCUGAGCAAUGUCUUUCCCCUUACCCACUUCAUCUUUUCUUCCACUUCAUUUCAUGUUCUUUUCUCUCACUUCUUUUUCCUACAUUGCUCAGACUCCACACGUAAGUAUGAAUUAAUUUUUUUCUAUUUUUGAUGAACUUAAUAUUUUAAAAAUCUCUUCUCUUUUUUACAGGUUUGUACAGUGAACCCCAGGACCUUAAGAUCAUUCUUCCCUUAUUAAUCUAUCCCUUUUUAAUCAAUCCCUCUGUUCCUAUCCCU